rnacentral:rRNA from 1 species
CACGUAGGGGGCAAGCGUUGUUCGGAAUUACUGGGCGUAAAGGGCAUGUAGGCGGCCUUGUAAGCCUGGCGUGAAAGUCACCGGCUCAACCGGUGGAUUGCGUCGGGAACUGCAGGGCUUGAGUCACGGAGGGGAAGCUAGAAUUCCUGGUGUAGGGGUGAAAUCUGUAGAGAUCAGGAAGAAUACCAGUGGCGAAGGCGAGCUUCUGGCCGAUGACUGACGCUGAGGUGCGAAAGUGUGGGGAUCAAACAGGAUUAGAUACCCUGGUAGUCCACACCGUAAACGAUGUGCACUAGGUGCUGGGGCGGAUGCCUCAGUGCCGGAGCUAACGCGGUAAGUGCACCGCCUGGGGAGUAUGCUCGCAAGGGUG